AGGAAAAAAAUCUGAAAGGUCUGGAUGAAGAACUGAGAGCAUACAGUGUAGGUGUAAAAAAUACACUGGAAUAAUAUGUGAUAAGCUCCUGAUCUUCAUUGAGAGAGAAUUAUGUUUAUUCACCUGGAAAGCAGAAACUGUUGCUAACUGGAGCAGAAAAGUAAUUUCCAUUUGGAUGUGGCAAGAGAAGACUGAAGCAUCAAGAAGAACCCUCAUGUAAAAGAGACAGGGUCACCUUUGCUUGGGAGACCUGCGCAUGAACUUGUCUCAGCAGGACUGCUUGCCAUGGACCAUCGAUGUACUUAAUUUUACAAGAGCUUCCAGGAUGUUGGUUGCUGGCCCUGCUAUUGAACUGAGCCCAUGACUGGCCUUCCUGAGGGGAGAGGAUGAUAACAGCCUUUACUCCCUCUGCAGGGUGUCCCCGUGAUGUGGACUCAUUAUGGCUGUGAUCGUUGCUGAUGACAUUAAUGCACUGUGCUGCUCCUCCACCACACGUGCCAUCUGCUCCCAUCAGCCCUGUGGGG